GUUGGUGUGGUAAUGGCGCACCAAGGCAACGAUGGGUAGCUGGUCUGAGAGGAUGGUCAGCCACACUGGGACUGAGAUACGGCCCAGACUCCUACGGGGGGCAGCAGUCUAGAGGCUUCGUCAAUGCCCGAAAGGGUGAACGAGCGACGCCGCGUGCGGGAUGAAGGUCUUCGGAUCGUAAACCGCUUUUAUUAGGAAAGAAGAUUAUGCUCGUGAAGCAUAGUUUGACGGUACCUGAUGAAUAAGCCUCGGCUAACUCCGUGCCAGCAGCCGCGGUAAUACGGAGGAGGCGAGCGUUGUUCGGAAUCAUUGGGCGUAAAGGGCUUGUAGGCGGACAGGUGUGUCUGGCGUGAAAUCUCCACUGCUUACCAGGGAGGGUGCGUUGGAAACUGCUUGUCUGGAGUAUGACAGAGGGUCGCGGAAUUCCGGGUGUAGCGGUGGAAUGCGUAGAUAUCCGGAGGAACACCGGUGGCGAAGGCGGCGGCCUGGGUCAAUACUGACGCUGAGGAGCGAAAGCUAGGGUAGCAAACAGGCUUAGAUACCCUGGUAGUCCUAGCUGUAAACUGUGGAUACUAGGUGUGGGAGGUAUCGACCCCUUCUGCGCCG
rnacentral:rRNA from 1 species